AAUACUUCUUGGCCUUUUGGCUAAGAUCAAGUGUAGUAUCAGCCACAUUAGUUGGCCAUCUCACUUUGCACAGUAGAAGCUUGAGUAAGUUACAGAUUUUUUUUUUCGUGUCAGGAGCAACCGAAGUUGCUUCUGGAGUGAGAGAAUUGAACGUCU
ensembl:snRNA U2 U2 spliceosomal RNA